rnacentral:misc_RNA from 1 species
AUGCAUCACUAGUAUCAGUCUGGUCCUUUUUAAACAACAUGGUUGAACACGAGGGAUAGUAGCGUAAACAGCCACAAUGCGUAUCGAAAAGUGUUACUUUUGUUCGUCAAACAUAUACCCAGGCCAUGGUAUUCAAUUUGUAAGAAACGACUCCAAGAUCUUUCGGUUUUGCCGAUCUAAAUGCCACAGAGCAUUUAAAAAGAAGAGGAAUCCGAGAAAGUCGAGAUGGACAAAAGCUUUCAGGAAAGCUGCAGGGAAAGAUCUUGCUGUGGACCCCUCGUUUGAGUUCGAGAAGCGGAGAAAUGUUCCUGUCAAAUACGACAGACAGCUGUGGAACACGACAAUGAAAGCAAUUGAGAGAAUUGAAGAAAUUCGCACCAAGAGACAAAAUCAGUUUAUAAAGAACAGAUUACAGAAAGGAAAGCAGUUGCGUAAAGAGGCUGACAUCAAAGAAGUGGAAAAGAACAUUCAUUUGAUUCGGGCACCAGGAGCGACCAAGUCUGUGAGGAUGGAGAAGAAGUUGGUGGAGGUUGUGGUGGAACAGGACGAUGACGAUAUGGAAGAGAACUAAACAUCUGACAGAGAACUAAACAUCUGACAGAGAACUGAACAUCUGACAGAACUAAACAUCUGACAGAACGAAACAUCUUACAGAGAACUGAACAUCUCACGGAGAACUUACUCAAUGGUCACAUAGAGAGCUAAAUACAUACCAAGGAUGUGGUUAUGUAUUUCUACUUCAGGUCAAGGUUCCUAGAUCUAUGUGCACUCAAAAGACAACAUGACAUUACAAAGUUUGAGAACUUAAUAAGAUAUUUAAAAGUGAUCAAAUAAAGGAAAUCUCACAUUA